ACCCAUCCAAGACAGCUCAGUUGGUAGAGCAUGAGAUUCUUAAUCUCAGGGCUGUGAGUUCAAGCCCCAUGCUGGGCA